rnacentral:rRNA from 1 species
AUUGAACGCUGGCGGCAUGCCUUACACAUGCAAGUCGAACGGUAACAGGUCUUCGGAUGCUGACGAGUGGCGAACGGGUGAGUAAUACAUCGGAACGUGCCCGAUCGUGGGGGAUAACGAAGCGAAAGCUUUGCUAAUACCGCAUAAGAUCUACGGAUGAAAGCAGGGGACCGCAAGGCCUUGCGCGAACGGAGCGGCCGAUGGCAGAUUAGGUAGUUGGUGGGAUAAAAGCUUACCAAGCCGACGAUCUGUAGCUGGUCUGAGAGGACGACCAGCCACACUGGGACUGAGACACGGCCCAGACUCCUACGGGAGGCAGCAGUGGGGAAUUUUGGACAAUGGGCGAAAGCCUGAUCCAGCCAUGCCGCGUGCAGGAUGAAGGCCUUCGGGUUGUAAACUGCUUUUGUACGGAACGAAAAGACUCUGGUUAAUACCUGGGGUCCAUGACGGUACCGUAAGAGUAAGCACCGGCUAACUACGUG